UACGUAGGGUGCAAGCGUUGUCCGGAAUUAUUGGGCGUAAAGAGCUCGUAGGCGGUUUGUCGCGUCUGGUGUGAAAAUCCAGGGCUUAACCCUGGACCUGCGUUCGAUACGGGCAGACUAGAGUUCGGUAGGGGAGACUGGAAUUCCUGGUGUAGCGGUGAAAUGCGCAGAUAUCAGGAGGAACACCGGUGGCGAAGGCGGGUCUCUGGGCCGAUACUGACGCUGAGGAGCGAAAGCGUGGGGAGCGAACAGG
rnacentral:rRNA from 1 species